CAGCAGUCGCCGCGGUAAUACGAAGGGGGCUAGCGUUGUUCGGAAUUACUGGGCGUAAAGCGCACGUAGGCGGACAUUUAAGUCAGGGGUGAAAUCCCGGGGCUCAACCCCGGAACUGCCUUUGAUACUGGGUGUCUAGAGUAUGGAAGAGGUGAGUGGAAUUCCGAGUGUAGAGGUGAAAUUCGUAGAUAUUCGGAGGAACACCAGUGGCGAAGGCGGCUCACUGGUCCAUUACUGACGCUGAGGUGCGAAAGCGUGGGGAGCAAACAGGAUUAGAUACCCCCGUAGUCCCUGUCUCUUAUAC
rnacentral:rRNA from 1 species